UACGGAGGGUGCAAGCGUUAUCCGGAUUCACUGGGUUUAAAGGGUGCGUAGGCGGGCAGGUAAGUCAGUGGUGAAAUCUCCGAGCUUAACUCGGAAACUGCCGUUGAUACUAUUUGUCUUGAAUAUUGUGGAGGUAAGCGGAAUAUGUCAUGUAGCGGUGAAAUGCUUAGAUAUGACAUAGAACACCAAUUGCGAAGGCAGCUCACUACACGAAUAUUGACUCUGAGGCACGAAAGCGUGGGGAUCAAACAGG
rnacentral:rRNA from 1 species